rnacentral:misc_RNA from 1 species
GAUGAAGAACGUAGCGAAAUGCGAUACGUAGUGUGAAUUGCAGAAUUCAGUGAAUCAUCGAAUCUUUGAACGCACAUUGCACCUCUCGGUAUUCCGGGAGGUAUGCCUGUUCGAGCGUCAUUUGUACCCUCAAGCUCUGCUUGGUGUUGGGUGUUUGUUCCGCCUAUGUGUGUGAACUCGCCUCAAAACAAUUGGCAGCCGGCGUACUUGUUUCGGAGCGCAGCACAUUUUGCGAUCCAGAUCAACGUACAGCGGCAUCCAAGAAGCCUUAUUUAACGCUCUUGACCUCGGAUCAGGUAGGGAUACCCGCUGAACUUAAGCAUAUCAAUAAGCGGAGGA